rnacentral:rRNA from 1 species
UACGGAGGUGGCAAGCGUUGAUCGGAAUCACUGGGCGUAAAGGGCGCGUAGGCGGGGAGGUAAGUCGGGUGUGAAAUCCCUCGGCCCAACCGAGGAACUGCGCCCGAGACUGCUUCUCUUGAGUCCCGGAGAGGAAGAUGGAAUUCCCGGUGUAGCGGUGAAAUGUGUAGAGAUCGGGAGGAACACCGGCGGCGAAGGCGGUCUCCUGGACGGUGACUGACGCUGAGGCGCGAAAGCGUGGGGAGCAAACGGG